CCUACGGGCGGCAGCAGUGGGGAAUAUUGCACAAUGGAGGCAACCCUGAUGCAGCGACGCCGCGUGAAGGAAGAAGGAUUUCGGUAUGUAAACCUCUAUCAGCAGGGACGAAAAUGACGGUACCAUACUAAGAAGCCCCGGCUAACUACGUGCCAGCAGCCGCGGUAAUACGUAGGGGGCAAGCGUUAUCCGGAUUUACUGGGUGUAAAGGGAGGGUAGGCGGUUCAGUAAGAUAGAAGUGAAAGCCCGGGGCUCAACUCCGGGACUGCUUUUAAAACUGUUGAACUAGAUGGCCAGAGAGGAAAGUGGAAUUCCGAGUGUAGCGGUGAAAUGCGUAGAUAUUGGGUGGAACACCAGUGGCGAAGGCGGCUUACUGGACUGAAAAUGACGCUGAGGCUCGAAAGCAUGGGGAGCAAACAGGAUUAGAUAC
rnacentral:rRNA from 1 species